GAUGAACGCUGGCGGCGUGCCUAAUACAUGCCAGUCGAGCGAACAGAUGAGGAGCUUGCUCCUCUGACGUUAGCGGCGGACGGGUGAGUAACACGUGGAUAACCUACCUAUAAGACUGGGAUAACUUCGGGAAACCGGAGCUAAUACCGGAUAAUAUAUUGAACCGCAUGGUUCAAUAGUGAAAGACGGUUUUGCUGUCACUUAUAGAUGGAUCCGCGCCGCAUUAGCUAGUUGGUAAGGUAACGGCUUACCAAGGCAACGAUGCGUAGCCGACCUGAGAGGGUGAUCGGCCACACGGGAACUGAGACACGGUCCAGACUCCUACGGGAGGCAGCAGUAGGGAAUCUUCCGCAAUGGGCGAAAGCUUGACGGAGCAACGCCGCGUGAGUGAUGAAGGUCUUCGGAUCGUAAAACUCUGUUAUUAGGGAAGAACAAAUGUGUAAGUAACUAUGCACGUCUUGACGGUACCUAAUCAGAAAGCCACGGCUAACUACGUG
rnacentral:rRNA from 1 species